rnacentral:rRNA from 1 species
GACGAACGCUGGCGGCGUGCUUAACACAUGCAAGUCGAACGGAAAGGCCCUGCUUUUGUGGGGUGCUCGAGUGGCGAACGGGUGAGUAACACGUGAGUAACCUGCCCUUGACUUUGGGAUAACUUCAGGAAACUGGGGCUAAUACCGGAUAGGAGCUCCUGCUGCAUGGUGGGGGCUGGACAGUUUCGGCGGCUGGGGAUGGACUCGCGGCUUAUCAGCUUGUUGGUGGGGUAGUGGCCUACCAAGGCUUUGCCGGGUAGCCGGCCUGAGAGGGUGACCGGCCACAGUGGGACUGAGGUACGGCCCAGACUGCUACGGGAGGCAGCAGUGGGGAAUAUUGCACAAUGGGCGGAAGCCUGAUGCAGCAACGCCGCGUGCGGGAUGACGGCCUUCGGGUUGUAAACCGCUUUCGCCUGUGACGAAGCGUGAGUGACGGUAAUGGGUAAAGAAGCACCGGCUAACUACGUG